CAGCCGCCGCGGUAAUACGAAGGGGGCUAGCGUUGUUCGGAUUUACUGGGCGUAAAGCGCACGUAGGCGGAUCGAUCAGUCAGGGGUGAAAUCCCAGAGCUCAACUCUGGAACUGCCUUUGAUACUGUCGAUCUGGAGUAUGGAAGAGGUGAGUGGAAUUCCGAGUGUAGAGGUGAAAUUCGUAGAUAUUCGGAGGAACACCAGUGGCGAAGGCGGCUCACUGGUCCAUUACUGACGCUGAGGCGCGAAAGCGUGGGGAGCAAACAGGAUUAGAUACCCCAGUAGUCCCUGUCUCUUAUAC
rnacentral:rRNA from 1 species